rnacentral:lncRNA from 11 species
CCCUCCUCUCUACAGAUAGUCAUCAGCGGGGGGAAAAUCUAUUCCAUUCACCUCUUCAAAGAAGCAAAAGUGAUUGGGGAAAAGGUACCUGUCUUCCUUUGCCUGAGUAGAACACCUGGAGAUGGCAUGCAGGAAGAGGAGGCAGGAUCCAUGGGGCAGCUGACAUUUCUGCAGCAGGAUAGGGAAAGCCUAUCAUGUGAUGCGAAUGUCUGAGAAUGCUUCAGCAGAGAAUUGCCUAGAAAGCAAACGCUACUGUAAGCAACACCUUGCAUUCAUAGAAAAUCCCAUGAUAGGCUUGUUUAAAGAUCAAAAACAACUUGAAGACACAACAACAACAACAACAACAACAACAACAACAACAACAAAGGCAGAGGAGGAGUCUCUGGCCUCUGGAGGACCUGAAUCAACCUGUGGAGGUUUAUGCAGUGCAAACUAUCAGUAAUAGCUUAAUGGACAUGCUGGAAUGUGCCCCCAGGAACCUUUUGGAAGCAAAUUUAAUUUUUAAGAGAAAAGAGAUUGGCAGUCUCCUUGAAAAUAUGCACUUAAGCCUGUGGUUUAAAAAAAGUUCAUGCCAUGUUACUCAAACCAUUUGAUGCUGUUGCUGUUUAACUUCACCAUGAGAUAGAAACAAUAAAACAUUAUAUUUGGGGAACU